GUCUAUGGCCAUACCACCCUGAACGCACCUGAUCUUGUCUGAUCUCGGAAGCUAAGCAUGGUCGGGCCUGGUUAGUACUUGGAUGGGAGCAACAGCAGAGAAAGUAGUUUUCCCAUAAGCC
ensembl:rRNA 5S_rRNA 5S ribosomal RNA